rnacentral:rRNA from 1 species
CGCAAGCCUGACGGAGCAAUACCGCGUGAGGGAGGAAGGCCUUUGGGUUGUAAACCUCUUUUCUUAAGGAAGAAGCUCUGACGGUACUUAAGGAAUCAGCAUCGGCUAACUCCGUGCCAGCAGCCGCGGUAAUACGGAGGAUGCAAGCGUUAUCCGGAAUUAUUGGGCGUAAAGCGUCCGCAGGCGGCAUUAUAAGUCUGCUGUCAAAGACCGCAGCUCAACUGCGGAGAGGCAGUGGAAACUGUAAAGCUAGAGUACGGUAGGGGUAGAGGGAAUUCCCAGUGUAGCGGUGAAAUGCGUAGAGAUUGGGAAGAACACCAGUGGCGAAAGCGCUCUACUGGGCCGUAACUGACGCUCAGGGACGAAAGCUAGGGGAGCG